rnacentral:rRNA from 1 species
AGACCCGAAACCCGGUGAUCUAGCCAUGGGCAGGUUGAAGGUUGGGUAACACUAACUGGAGGACCGAACCGACUAAUGUUGAAAAAUUAGCGGAUGACCUGUGGCUGGGGGUGAAAGGCCAAUCAAACCGGGAGAUAGCUGGUUCUCCCCGAAAGCUAUUUAGGUAGCGCCUCGUGAAUUCAUCUCCGGGGGUAGAGCACUGUUUCGGCUAGGGGGCCAUCCCGGCUUACCAACCCGAUGCAAACUGCGAAUACCGGAGAAUGUUAUCACGGGAGACACACGGCGGGUGCUAACGUCCGUCGUGAAGAGGGAAACAACCCAGACCGCCAGCUAAGGUCCCAAAGUCAUGGUUAAGUGGGAAACGAUGUGGGAAGGCCCAGACAGCCAGGAUGUUGGCUUAGAAGCAGCCAUCAUUUAAAGAAAGCGUAAUAGCUCACUGGUCGAGUCGGCCUGCGCGGAAGAUGUAACGGGGCUAAACCAUGCACCGAAGCUGCGGCAGCGACGCUGAUGCGUUGUUGGGUAGGGGAGCGUUCUGUAAGCCUGCGAAGGUGGCCUGUGAGGGUUGCUGGAGGUAUCAGAAGUGCGAAUGCUGACAUAAGUAACGAUAAAGCGGGUGAAAAGCCCGCUCGCCGGAAGACCAAGGGUUCCUGUCCAACGUUAAUCGGGGCAGGGUGAGUCGACCCCUAAGGCGAGGCCGAAAGGCGUAGUCGAUGGGAAACGGGUUAAUAUUCCCGUACUUGGUGUUAC